rnacentral:rRNA from 1 species
CUCGCGGCCUAUCAGCUAGUUGGCGGGGUCAAGGCCCACCAAGGCGACGACGGGUAGCCGGCCUGAGAGGGCGACCGGCCACACUGGGACUGAGACACGGCCCAGACUCCUACGGGAGGCAGCAGUGGGGAAUAUUGGACAAUGGGCGGAAGCCUGAUCCAGCAACGCCGCGUGAGGGAUGACGGCCUUCGGGUUGUAAACCUCUUUCAGCACAGACGAAGCGCCUGUGAAGGUGGUGACGGUAUGUGCAGAAGAAGCACCGGCCAACUACGUGCCAGCAGCCGCGGUAAUAA